rnacentral:rRNA from 2 species
AGUCGAGCGGACAGAUGGGAGCUUGCUCCCUGAUGUUAGCGGCGGACGGGUGAGUAACACGUGGGUAACCUGCCUGUAAGACUGGGAUAACUCCGGGAAACCGGGGCUAAUACCGGAUGGUUGUUUGAACCGCAUGGUUCAAACAUAAAAGGUGGCUUCGGCUACCACUUACAGAUGGACCCGCGGCGCAUUAGCUAGUUGGUGAGGUAACGGCUCACCAAGGCGACGAUGCGUAGCCGACCUGAGAGGGUGAUCGGCCACACUGGGACUGAGACACGGCCCAGACUCCUACGGGAGGCAGCAGUAGGGAAUCUUCCGCAAUGGACGAAAGUCUGACGGAGCAACGCCGCGUGAGUGAUGAAGGUUUUCGGAUCGUAAAGCUCUGUUGUUAGGGAAGAACAAGUACCGUUCGAAUAGGGCGGUACCUUGACGGUACCUAACCAGAAAGCCACGGCUAACUACGUGCCAGCAGCCGCGGUAAUACGUAGGUGGCAAGCGUUGUCCGGAAUUAUUGGGCGUAAAGGGCUCGCAGGCGGUUUCUUAAGUCUGAUGUGAAAGCCCCCGGCUCAACCGGGGAGGGUCAUUGGAAACUGGGGAACUUGAGUGCAGAAGAGGAGAGUGGAAUUCCACGUGUAGCGGUGAAAUGCGUAGAGAUGUGGAGGAACACCAGUGGCGAAGGCGACUCUCUGGUCUGUAACUGACGCUG